AUGGUUCACCUGUCCUCUGCCUGCUCUCCGGAGGAGAGGGCUGUCCUAAUGGACAUCCGGUCUUCCCUGAGGAGAGCACACUCCAUGUUUUCGCCUGAUCUUUGGGGGCAUGAUGAUGAUGAAUGCUGCUCGUGGGAGACUGUGACAUGCAACAAUAGCACCCGACGAGUGACUCAUCUCGACCUUUCCCUUGUAUAUCUAUCAGCAGAUGCAGGUGAACGUUGGUAUUUAAACUUGACGGUGUUUUCUGCAUUCCAUGAGCUUCGGUACCUAGAUCUAUCAUACAACUUUCAGUGUUCGCUAAGCUUCGAAGGGUUAGUUGGACUACCCAGGCUUCUAUAUCUUGAUCUCAGUGGCAUCACGUUGGGAGGGGGUUUCCUGGAAUUUAUUGGGGCAUUUGUUUCAAUGGAAGUCUUAGCUCUCAAUGGUAACAACAUCACUGGAGGUAUUCCAGAGGCAGCUUUCAAUAAUCUUAGAAAUUUGCGACAAUUGAAUAUGUCUAUGAAUAGACUCAACGGAAACCUCCCGGCAUCUCUAUUUGCACUUCCUCACCUAAAAAUCUUAGAUCUCUCAAACAAUAUCUUUGAUGGGUAUAUUCCAAUAAGUUCGUCCUCACGACCAAUUUCCCUUGAAGUCUUAGAUCUCAGCUAUAAUCACCUCACUGGAAUUCUCCCGAUUAAAGCCUUUAAGAACAUCAGGAGCUUGAAUUUGGCCAGCAACCUAUUCAGUGGAUCUCUCCUUGUGUCAACACUUGCACUUCCUCAUCUGAAGUUCCUAGAUCUCUCAGACAAUCAUUUUGAGGGAGAUUUUCCUAUUAAUUUUUCUUCACAGCAAGUUCCACUUGAAGUCUUACAUCUCAAUGGUAAUAACAUGAGUGGAGCUCUUCCGACUGAACGAGCAUUUGAAAAUCUCCGGAACCUACGGCAGUUGUAUUUGAGUUACAACCAAUUCAGCGGAAACAUUCCAACAUUAGCAUUUCAAAAUCUCCAGAACCUGCGAGAAUUGUCUUUGAGUUCCAAUCAAUUCAUUGGAAACAUUCCAUCAUUAUUGUUUUCUCUACCACAUAUUGAACUGUUGAAUCUCGCAUCAAACUUCUUCAGCGGACCAAUUCCUAUAAAUAAAUCUUCGAAUCUUUCACCGUCACUUAAGAGUCUUCGAUUGUCCCAAAACAAAUUGAAUGGUAGAUUUUCUUUCAUUUGGCUUGGAGACCUCAUAAAACUAGAAGAGAUAGACCUUUCAGGCAAUGCUAACCUAGUCGUCCAUGUCAAUAUUCCUGGAUGGACACCUCCUUUCCAACUGAAACAGUUAUUGCUCUCUGGCUGUGACGUUGACAAGAGCAUUAUUGCAGAACCACAUUUUUUAGACACACAGCAUUAUUUAGAGGUGCUUGAUUUGUCCAAUAAUAACUUGUCAGUUAGCAUGCCGCAUUGGUUGUUUACAAAGGAAGCAACAUUACAGGAACUAUAUCUUGGAAAUAACUCGCUAACUGGAUUGCUAGACCCAAUAUGGCACACCCAGUCUUUUCUCCAGGUUAUCGACUUACACAUGAACCAUGUCACAGGACAGCUGCCAGCCAACAUCAGUUUAAUGUUUCCAAGGUUGCUGAUUCUGGAUGUUUCUAGUAACAACUUCUUUGGGCACAUACCAACUUCAUUGUGCGAGAUCAACUUCAUGACGCUUUUAGACCUGUCAAACAACAAUUUUUCUGGGGAAUUUCCAGCUUGUGUGUUCACUAAUUAUCCCAUGCUAGUGAGCUUAAAGGUCUCAAACAAUAAGCUUGGUGGUCUGAUUUUUGGCGGAAUGAAUAACCUGUCCAUUACGUCGGAACUGUACCUGGAUGGUAACAAAUUUGAAGGGACGGUGCCUCGUGAUCUGUCAGGAGGGACUUUAAUGGUUAUUGAUUUGCAUGACAACGAGUUAUCUGGCAAACUUGAUAUGUCAUUAUGGAAUAUGUCUUCCUUGAAAGUCCUACAAUCUUGCUGGCAAUCGUAUAACUGGCAAAAUUCAUCCACAAAUUUGCAGCUUUACCAGAUUUGA
rnacentral:rRNA from 1 species